UCAGCUUUGUGAGAUGCCAUAUCAUAUUGAGUUCUCUUUUGUUGUGCUGUAUUUUACAUUUUAGUAAGAAACGCUUUCCUUUGUAUCUUUGAAAAAGCGCCUUUAAAAGGCGAGCACCACCGAUUCUGUGAGUGAGUGCGGGAGCGGCCGGCCGUAUGCGCAUGGACGGAGGACUAAGCAUGUGCAGCCCAUGAGCGAUGCCGAACACAACGGUUGUAGCAGGUGCAGUUCAAGGCCGUUUCUUGAAGGGAAAGGAAGAAUCUAAAUGCUCUCUUUUACUUUUCAGUUCUUCAUCUUGAUUUUGAAGCAAGUUUCUGCUAGCUAAGGGUUGAACUUUGAACUUUAAAUUGCCGCAUGGCUAUAACCAAAGUCACAAAGUACGCCAAUCUUUUCUUUGGAUGUUGACAACUAUCCACUAUUUUAUUGUCGAGAGCUGGAGCCAUAGACUUCCAAAGCUUGGUGGAAAGGAAAAGGAGUACCAGUACAUGUUGUGGCCUUGUUGGGUUUCAUGAAAAUUGAUGAAAAGAAAGGUGAUUGAGAAGGAUGGCUAAAGAAAAACCAAUCUAGAAGAAACAUGAAUUUUCUUUGCUUGUUUUUUGAUCUUAUGAAAAUUUAAUGAGAAAGUUUUGAGAAAUCAUUUGUAAUGGAAGUUUUUCUUACAAAUAGAGGGCUUGAACAGAGCCAAUUUAGAGCCUGGUUGAUGAACUCGUCUUGGUCUAUUGGUCAAGAGCUUUGACUACUAAUAAAAAAAUUUAGAUUUGAAGCUUGCGUA